rnacentral:rRNA from 1 species
UACGUAGGGUGCAAGCGUUUGUCCGGAAUUAUUGGGCGUAAAGAGCUCGUAGGCGGUCUGUCGCGUCUGCUGUGAAACUCGGGGCUUAACCCCGGGCCUGCAGUGGGUACGGGCAGACUAGAGUGCGGUAGGGGAGACUGGAAUUCCUGGUGUAGCGGUGAAAUGCGCAGAUAUCAGGAGGAACACCGGUGGCGAAGGCGGGUCUCUGGGCCGUAACUGACGCUGAGGAGCGAAAGCAUGGGGAGCGAACAGG